rnacentral:lncRNA from 7 species
CAUGACUCCAGCCAGCCAGCCAGCCAGCCAAGGCAGGCAGGCAGGCAGGCAAGCCAAGGCUGGGAGGGGCCAUGGCUCCAGCCAGCCAGCCUAGG